AGAGUUUGAUCCUGGCUCAGGACGAACGCUGGCGGUGUGCUUCACACAUGCAAGUCGAGCGAAUGAAGUAGGUAGCUUGCUACUUAUGGAUUUAGCGGCGGACGGGUGAGUAAUAUAUAGGAAUCUGCCUUAGAGCGGGGAACAACAGACCGAAAGGUUUGCUAAUGCCCCAUAGGUAUGCAGUCUUCGGAUUGUAUAUUAAAGGAGUAAUCCACUCUAAGAUGAGCCUGUAUCCGAUUAGCUAGUUGGCGGGGUAAAGGCCCACCAAGGCUACGAUCGGUAGUUGGUCUGAGAGGAUGAUCAGCCACAAUGGGACUGAGACACGGCCCAUACUCCUACGGGAGGCAGCAGUGGGGAAUUUUACACAAUGGGGGAAACCCUGAUGUAGCGACACCGCGUGAACGAAGAAGCCUUUUGGGGUGUAAAGUUCUGUCGGCUGGAACGAAAAAAAUGACGGUACCAGCAAAGGAAGCAUCGGCUAACUACGUGCCAGCAGCCGCGGUAAGACGUAGGAUGCAAGCGUUGUCCGGAUUUAUCGGGCGUAAAGAGUUCGUAGGCGGUUAUUUAAGUCUGAUGUUAAAUACUGUGGCCCAACCACAGAACUGCAUUGGAUACUGGAUGACUUGAGUGCGGUAGAGGCAAGUGGAAUUCCCAGUGUAGCGGUGAAAUGCGUAGA
rnacentral:rRNA from 1 species